rnacentral:rRNA from 1 species
UACGUAGGUGGCAAGCGUUAUCCGGAAUUACUGGGUGUAAAGGGCGUGUAGGCGGGACUGCAAGUCAGAUGUGAAAACCAUGGGCUCAACCUAUGGCCUGCAUUUGAAACUGUGGUUCUUGAGUGAUGGAGAGGCAGGCGGAAUUCCCUGUGUAGCGGUGAAAUGCGUAGAUAUAGGGAGGAACACCAGUGGCGAAGGCGGCCUGCUGGACAUUAACUGACGCUGAGGCGCGAAAGCGUGGGUAGCAAACAGGAUUAGAUACCCUGGUAGUCCACGCCGUAAACGAUGGAUACUAGGUGUGGGGGGUCUGACCCCCUCCGUGCCGCAGUUAACACAAUAAGUAUCCCACCUGGGGAGUACGAUCGCAAGGUUGAA